rnacentral:lncRNA from 1 species
UGAGGGUAACCUAUACACCUAAAAAUCAUUUAUAACCAUUAUUAAACAACACAUACAAAUGUAUGAUAGUUUUUUAUACAUCUAACAAUUUAUAUCAUAAUUAGCUAACAUUUACACAUUGUAUAAGGUUCAUUUAUACAUUAAAAAAUAAAAUCAUACAAACGUUAAACAACUUAUGGUCAUGUAUGAUGGUAAGUUAUACAUGUAUAAAUAGACUGCAUUAAUGUAUAAUAUAUUCCAGUGUUAGAUAUAAUAAAAAUUUAAUUAACUUAUAAUGAAAACAUAGAAUACGUGUUGUUGAUAAGAUGUUUCUAACAAUAACUUAUGUUACAUGUUAUUAUACAUGACAUGAUUACAGUUGGAUAGCUGGUAAUGGUAAAUUCUACAUGUAUGACAGCAUAUUAUACGUUGGUUCACAUAUAUGAUAAAUUAGUUCACAUGUAUGACAUCAUAUUAUUUUUUAUUUGAAAUGGUGAAAAUCAGCUUUGGGAGGGAAAUAACAGGAUCCUCUUUUUCAAUUUCAACAAGAUGUGACUUUCUUUCACUUUUUUGGAAAGCUUGUUGCCUCUUUUGAAAGUCUUUGUCCACCAUUUGGGUAACAAGACUUUUCAAAUCCUUAUUUUCUUCUUUCUUUUAUAAGCCUUGGAAUAUAUUUUAAGACAAACAAAGACCACACUUUUGAUAUGUUGGUUCAAAUGUAUGACUGUAGGUUCAUAUGUAUGAUAUGUUUGUUCAGAUGUAUGGUAGUAGGUUCAGAUGUAUGAUAUGUUGGUUCAGAUGUAUGACAGUAGGUUUAGAUAUAUGGUAGCACAUGUCAAAAUUAAUAAAAGUUGUUAGACAUGAUAGCGGGUAACUUAUUCAUUUACGAACAAAUUGCAUCAACGUAUAAUAAAAUCAACACUAACCGCUAUAGAGUUGCACAUGUAUGAGAAUAACCUAUACAUCUAACAAUUCAUAUUACACUCUACUAAAAGUACAUCUCAACAUGUUUGCAUACAUUAAAGCCUAUUUAUAAUAAAACUUUGCCAAUCCAGUAAACUUGUGAAUGUAUAAUAUGUUGUUAUAUAUUCAAAUCAUUGUAUAAUGAAAGUGUGUCGUUCCAGUAAACAUUCGAAUGUAUAAUAUUGGUUCACAUGUAUGACAAAUUAGUUCACAUGUAUGACAUCAUAAUUAUACAUUGAUUCACAUGUAUGAUAAAUUCUUUUACACGUAUGAUAUCAUAUUCUUGGUUCACAAGUCUUGGAUCCUAUUUUUAAAUUUCAACAAGAUGUGACCUUUUUGGAAAAGUUGUUUUAAGACAAACAAAGACCACACUUAUUUCUUCUUAUUUUUGCAUCAAACCACCAUUAUUUGAAUGGUCUUCUUCAACAACAUCUGAAAAAUAUGAAGAACACAAACAAUAUUAAAAAACUGAUAAAUUGGUUCACAUGUAUGAUCUGAUUUUUUUUUGUAACAAAAAAAAUUAAAGAUCUAACUUGUACUAUAUGAAAAAAUAAAAAUAAAAAAAUGAACUACUAAACUUGAAUAGAAUUGAAGAAUAAUGAAAUUUGAACAUGCAAAUGAAGAAUAAAUGAAAACCCCCUUAAUUGGUAAGGUUGAACUUGACAGAAAAAAAUUAAAAAAUUAAUGAACUAGAAUAUUAAACAGAAUUAAAUCUUGAUAACUUACUAUAGGCAAAUCAAAGAUCUAACUUAUACUAUAUGAAAAAAUAAUCAAAAAAACCGAAAUACUAAACUUGAAUAUGAAUGAAGAAUAAUGAAAUUUGAACAUGUAAAUAAAGGAAAAAUGGAAACCCCCUUAAUUGGUAAAGUUGAACUUCAUAGCAAAAAAUUAAAAAAUAUUAAUGAACUAAAAUAGUAAACACAAUUAAAUCUUGAUAACUUACAAUUUGAUAAUCAUUAGGUUGAAGUUCCUUCAAUUUUGCCGUAAAAGAUGAUUUCAAAACUGGAGUACAAUUCAUAUGAGUAAUGGAAGAAGUAGAGAGUGAAAGAAGAAAGAACAUUAGAGAGUGAAAGAACAAGGCAAAAGCUGCCAAAUGAACUAAAGUUAUUUCCUUUUCCUUAAUUUAUGGUAUAAAGUAACAAACUGUUCUCUUUCUUUAGCUUUUUUAUUUGAAA